rnacentral:rRNA from 1 species
GACGAACGCUGGCGGCGUGCUUAACACAUGCAAGUCGAACGGAAAGGCCCUGCUUUUGUGGGGUGCUCGAGUGGCGAACGGGUGAGUAACACGUGAGUAACCUGCCCUUGACUUUGGGAUAACUUCAGGAAACUGGGGCUAAUACCGGAUAGGAGCUCCUGCUGCAUGGUGGGGGUUGGAAAGUUUCGGCGGUUGGGGAUGGACUCGCGGCUUAUCAGCUUGUUGGUGGGGUAGUGGCUUACCAAGGCUUUGACGGGUAGCCGGCCUGAGAGGGUGACCGGCCACAUUGGGACGGAGAUACGGCCCAGACUCCUACGGGAGGCAGCAGUGGGGAAUAUUGCACAAUGGGCGGAAGCCUGGUGCAGCAACGCCGCGUGCGGGAUGACGGCCUUCGGGUUGUAAACCGCUUUCGCCUGUGACGAAGCGUGAGUGACGGUAAUGGGUAAAGAAGCACCGGCUAACUACGU